rnacentral:lncRNA from 1 species
AGUUUUCGGAGUUAAUACUAACUAGUGAUUUGGGGCUACAUUUAAGUGCUUUAAGCUAUCCUACAAGCUUAAAGUAGUUAUACAUGCAAAUACUUAAAUGAAUUAGGUACAAGAAUACAGAGGUAAGAAAUAGAAUCUAUUGUAGAAUAAAUCCUAUUUCAGAUGUGACUGUUUUAGGAUUUGAAUCAACCACAUAUUACAGAAAACCCCAAGAUAAAGCCUUGGCAUAACCAAGACAAAGUUUAUUUUUUUCUCUCACAUAAAAUUAGUCCAGACUUAUUUUACCAGUGGUAUGGCAACUCCACAGUCAAAGGGACCCAAGCUCAUCUGACCUUCGAUUCCCUUAUCCUGGGACAGGCUUACAUUCUCAAGGUCGACUCCUGGCCUAAUGGGGCUACUGGAGCUUCAGCCAUCACACUCUGUGCUUCCUGUUAUAUCUACUGGUCAGAACUUCAGAUACAUCUGUCUAAAAGGAACGCUGAAAAUACAGUCUUUAAGCUGUGCAAUUGUACCUGGAAUAAAUGAGUUCUUUUAAUAAAAAGAGUUGAAUGGAUAUUUGGUGGGCAAAUAGCAGUCCAUGCUACAAUAAUAAACUUCACAAUUUUAGAAUUAGAUAUCUUGUAAUGAAUAUUCUGACGUGGUGUCAACUUAUACCAUAGAUAGAUUAUAACUUUGAAAAGGAAUUAGAACACAAUAAUAAUAAAUUCACACUAAGGCUCUUUUGGGGAAAAAAAAUCUCUACCAUUUAUUGAGUGUUUAUUAUCUUCACAACAUCCCUAUGAGUUAGGGAUUAUUUUUGUGGACAUUUUACAGAUAAAGAAACAGAGGCAUUGAGAUGAUAACUAGCUUGACUAAGGAGUGGCGGAGCUCUGGGCAGUGUGGUUCCUGUGUGCCCAUAAGGCCAUUGCACAAUGCUGCUUCAUCAUGUAAUUCAGAAAGUAUUGCAGGAUGUGGCAGUUGGUCAUCAUGAAUGUUCAUUGUUAUCUUGUGGCUUUGUGAAAAAUUCUGGUCAUUCAAACGAUUUGACUGUUGAGAUUCUGUGCACAUGAGAUUGUACUGUGUACAUGUUUCUAAAAAUGUGUGUUAUAGAUCAAAAUGCACACACUCAUUUACCUCUAAGAACAGUUCUUAUAUUGAAGGGAAAUUAUCUGUACGUGAGAGAACAACGUGGUUUUGAGUACAAGUGGUGAACAGACAUUGAAUAGUUGUUUUCAGAAAGCAUCACUCCCCUGUACCUCAGAACCCAGCCUCAGUGCUGGUUGCGAGCCAACAGCUUUGAUGUCCUGAAGUUUUUGCAUCACUUCUCUUUUGCCCCUCUUUGGGAUUCAAAGAUGAUAAGUUUGAAGUGGAGUUCUACCGCUUCCAUUGGAAGAGAAAAAGUUUCCGUGUGUGUGUGUGUGUGUGUGCGUGUGUGUGUUUACGGAGAGGAGUUCUAUGCAUCUGCAGAGGGUGCUGCCAUCAACAAGGAGAACAGAGUGGGAUGAAGGGUUUGGGAAGCCAGGAUGGGCAUCUCUGACGAGCUCCAGAACUCUCCACCUAAGUGUGCAAGUGUAAACACUCCCUGAUGUGUGAACUGGCCAUCUCAAGACUAAGUAUUUAGCAGGAAAUGCCCCCUAUUCAACCCUUGCCUUCUCAGGUGUAGAGGUUGGGUUGUCUCUUCCAUCUUUGUUUGAAUUAUGUCAUUAAUCAACCUUAGUGAAAGAUCACUUAGUCAUUUGUGACAGCAUAAGUUCUUAAUUGUUAGGAAUCACUGGUGCGGCACACAUCUUUUUCUAUCCAUGAACAACGUCAAAUGCUUAUUUUCUCAUGAGCUUUUAUUUUUUCCUUUUAAAAAAAGUUUCUUAGGAUAAACACAGCCUUUUUCCUUGUCUCUCCCUUGCCCUCUCAUCUUUUUCUCAAUCUUUAUAUUCCUAUAUGUCACUGAAGAGUCCCCGUGCCAACGCUGUGCAGUGGGAGGCUCCUACCUCCACCAGCUUUUGAGGAGGUUGUAGUCCUGCAACCUUAGAGGUUCCACAGCCAAGCUGGGGGUCUUUCUGGAGCAUGGGUGGUGAAUCUGAGAUCUAUGCACCCAGGAAGCCUGACACAUUAUUGUGGUGUCUCAAUUCUUUUUUUUUUAAUUAGAAAAAUUGUAUCAAAUUGCAUUUGGUGAGAGCAAAAAUAAACUGAAGUUGGUUGAGCUUUGGAAGACUACAAGCCACUGUAAUAUUUAAGAUUUCUUGACCUCCAGAACUAACAUUUGUCCUGUCAGAGAAAAUAAUUACUCCUGUUGAGAAUACAUGCAUUAAAGUAAGAUGUUCACUACUCUAUAUGAUCACCAAACAUUAAAUAAUAUGUUUUACACAUGUA